rnacentral:rRNA from 1 species
UACGAAGGGGGCUAGCGUUGCUCGGAAUCACUGGGCGUAAAGGGUGCGUAGGCGGAUUUGUAAGUCAGGGGUGAAAUCCCGGGGCUCAACCUCGGAACUGCCUUUGAUACUGCAAAUCUCGAGUCCGGAAGAGGUGAGUGGAAUUCCUAGUGUAGAGGUGAAAUUCGUAGAUAUUAGGAAGAACACCAGUGGCGAAGGCGGCUCACUGGUCCGGUACUGACGCUGAGGUGCGAAAGCGUGGGGAGCAAACAGGG